rnacentral:rRNA from 1 species
GACGAACGCUGGCGGCGUGCUUAACACAUGCAAGUCGAACGGAGAGGCCCUGCUUUUGUGGGGUGCUCGAGUGGCGAACGGGUGAGUAACACGUGAGUAACCUGCCCUUGACUUUGGGAUAACUUCAGGAAACUGGGGCUAAUACCGGAUAGGAGCUCCUGCUGCAGGGUGGGGGUUGGAAAGUUUCGGCGGUUGGGGAUGGACUCGCGGCUUAUCAGCUUGUUGGUGGGGUAGUGGCUUACCAAGGCUUUGACGGGUAGCCGGCCUGAGAGGGUGACCGGCCACAUUGGGACUGCGAUACGGCCCAGACUCCUACGGGAGGCAGCAGGGGGGAAUAUUGCACAAUGGGCGGAAGCCUGAUGCAGCAACGCCGCGUGCGGGAUGACGGCCUUCGGGUUGUAAACCGCUUUCGCCUGUGACGAAGCGUGAGUGACGGUAAUGGGUAAAGAAGCACCGGCUAACUACGUG